rnacentral:lncRNA from 1 species
AAAGAAGCGCAUGACACAUUCUCUGGAGGAUGGCGUCGGGCGGUGACUACAGCACGGGUGUGCGUGGGCUGAGUGACUCGGGCUGUCCUGAGCAGCAGUGCCUUAGGGCCGUGCCAGCGCUGAGUGAAGCUGAAGGAUGGCGAACUCCCGUUGCUGCUGUGACGAUGACGAUGAUGAUGACGCACCGGGACUGCUCGAAUUAAGGGGUGUGGCGAGAGAGCCUGGGCUGGGGCGGCUGGAGCCGUGGGAUCCAGUCCCAUCUGUUUCCCACUUGCCGUAGGACCUAGAAAGUUCCCUUUCUCUCUCUGGGCUUCUUAGUUUCGCCAGCUAAUCUCCGGGUUCCACCCAGCAUUAGUUUCCCCUUUUUCUAGAGCCUUCCCAGUGCUCUUUCCCUUCCAGACCUUGUCUCCCUCUGUGCCUGCCCAGAGCGGUCCCACCCUGGCCCCACUGCCCAAGUGGCACAUGUCACCCUGCCCGCCUGCCGAUGGCUCAGGUGGCGAGGUCCUGGGAAAGGUCGGAUCCAGGGGCAGAGCCCGCCAGGGCCGGAUCAGGUAAAGAGGACGGGAAACAAGAAUGAGUUGUUGCUUCCUUAGCCCCAAGGUGUGUCCGUUUGCCUGGGGUAUGCAGACAGGCCUGCGAGGAGAGAGGGGGCCACUGGAGAUUAACUCUCCGCUCGACACUGAAGGGGACCCUGGGAGGGCAAGCGUGUCAUACCUCACAGGUGCGCUGCUCUCUACAGUUUACAGAGCACUCGAGUCCGGGACGCUUCUUUAUUCUUGUCGCUUCCUCCAAAGACGCUCCUCCUCAGUUGGAACAAAACGCCAACCCCGCUCCCUGGCCUCAGGCCCUUGGCACCCGCGUCCUGCCCCCGUAUCCCUGCCUCCUCCCUGCCCACCCGCUGCACCCAUGCAGGCCUCCUGUCUGUUCUCCUGAGAAGCCAGCUAGGGCAUCACCGACACCCUUGCGGGAGGCCUGGCCCUCCACCCUUUCAGGUAGGCCUCCAGGUACCCUUGGCCUGUUCUCCGGCACUUUUGCUCCGGGAGCCUCCUCGUUGUCUGUGAGCUCCGAGAGGCCUCAUCCAUGGGGUCACGGCCACACCCGCGGGGCAGACAGUUCUCAGCAACUCCUGUGAAGGACUGAGGGAGCGGCACUCACAGAAGUCUUGGAGCUGGACCUGUCAUCUUCUGUGAGAGGAGGCUGAAGGCCUGAGGGGACAACCGAUGCUGAGAGCUUUUGUGAAGCAGCUGACAGCUUCGCUCGGGCUUCGGGCCCGGGUGCUGAGAGUUUCAGGAAAGAGUGCAGGCUUUGCAUACAGGUGUGUGGGUCUGAGCACUUGCUCUAUGGCUUACCCGCUGUGUGACCUUGGGCAAGUGACUCAACCUCUCUGAUCCUCUUCUCCACCUGUAAAGUCAUUACCUGGGAAGCAGUCUGGAAAGACAGAACCUGGUGAAUGAGUGUGAGUGCUCUGUGUGCUGACGGGCACGUGGGGGAUGAGGGUGCUCUUUGCGUCUGUUCCAGGUCCUGUGCAGACCCCACACCUGCCUAAAAGACAACUUAAAGCUCCACCUGGGGCUGCCGCCCCCUCUUUGGGAUGCAAGGGAGUCUUCUUGGAGUUUGUAGGACCGUGGCCUCUAAGAAAACAUAGAAGACUCUGGGCUACUUAUUUAUUUAUUUAGAUUUUUAACUGUGGUAAAAUACACAUGACAUAAAAUUUACUAUCUUAACCCUUUUUAAGUGCACAGUUCAGCGGCAUUGAGUACAUUCUCACUGUGGUGCAGCCAGCUCCACCAUCCAUCUCUAUAACUCUUUUCAUCUUGAAAAACUGAAACUCUGUUCUCAUUAAAUAAUAACUCAAUCUCCCCUCCCCCCGCGCCUGGCAACCACCGCUCUCCUUUCUCUCUCCAUGAAUUUGACUGCUCUAAACACCUCAUCUAAGUGGAAUCAUGCAGUAUGUGUCCUUCUGUGACUGGCUUAUCUCACUUAGCACAAUGUCCUCAAGGUCCAUCCAUGUUGUAGCAGGUGUCAGAAUUUCCUUCCUUUUUAAGGCUGAAUAAUAUAAUGUAUAUAUCACAUUUUGUUUACCUGGUCACCCAUCAAUGGACAUUUGGGUUACCUCUUGGCUAUUGUGAAGAACGCUGCUGUGAUCGUGGUGUACAGAUAUCUCCUCGACACCCUGCUUCAAAUUCUU